UUCUUCUAACUGGUUGAAUAUCCUCCCCCAGUUGAGAUCAUUGAAGAUAUACUCUCAAGACUAUCUGUCAAGUCAAUUUUAUGAUUAAAGUGUUUAUCUAAAGCAUGGUAUGAAUUCGUUAGCAGUCGUAACUUCGGAAACAUAUCAUGUUAUUGGUUGGAAGUUCCAAAGUUUAUCAUGUAUUUUUUUAUGUGUUCACUGGUUGUUUGAACUUUGAAGCAUGCUUUUCUAUACAAACUCUUUUUUGGCAACAACCAUAAAAGCAAACAACAAGGAAAAACCAAAGACAGAAAAAGUUUGAAAAUGUGAAGAAUAUAAACUAGGGAUGUAAAAAAAACCCGUGGAGGCGAGUCCCCGCGGAGAACCGACCCGAAUGGGGCGGAUAUGGAGGGGUAUAUAUGGGGAUCAGGUGGGUAUGGAGGUCAUUUUGAAACCCGAUUAAGUUUUGGAGCGGGGACGGAUAUUAUGGUCUCCAAACCCGGACCCGACCUGAUUAUAUACUUAAAUUUAAAAAUUAACUAAUAUAGACUAUAAUUUGACAAUGUAAUUUUCUAUUUUUUUUUUUGUUAGACUUUGUGGCCGCGUGUUCAAGAUUUCAAGCUUGUAUUUUGUUUGGAUUAAAUUUAGUUGAAGGUUUUAACUUGAAAUUGUAAUUUAAGAUAUUAUUAUGAUAAUUUAAAUUUAUGAAUAGUUAUUAUUAUUAUUAUUUGAUUAUCUAAAACUAUAAAUGGAGCCCCGCGGAGAACUGAUCCCCAUUGGAGGUGGGGAUGGGGAUCCCCGAAUAGUCUUAAACGGGGAAAUGGACGGGGAUGGAGACUAAAAAACUAAAUGGGGAUGGGGACGGAGAUAGGGGUACCCGGCCCCGAACCAACCCGUGAACAUCCCUAAUAUAAACCCAUUAGGGGAAUUGAGCACAAACCACAGGUACUAUUUGUCAACAUAUU
rnacentral:lncRNA from 1 species